rnacentral:RNase_P_RNA from 1 species
UUGGUAAAUCGGGUGAUUGCUGUGGAGUAGCUCGCCUUCGCCCUUUAGGCGUCGGUUGAGGACUUCAUGGAGGAAAGUCCGAACACUACUUCGCCGAAGCCGCACAGUGUGUAGCGCGGUGAAGCCAAGGGCAGUGGUUAAUGGCCACCAGAUAUAAGUUUCGCCAUUCUUCCUCUUAAGAGAAGAGCGGCGAAAUAAAAUCUAGGGAAAGUGGCACAGAAACUAUUCCGAGCUCCCGGCGGCUUACGCUGGGACUACGGGUGAAAAGUUCCCGAACGGGAUCGCCUCGUGGUGACACGGGUGCGUGCCAAACCCUGCCUGGUGCAAGUACAGCGUUUUCUUUGAUGGGUGACGGCUUGUCCUGAGCUUGUCGAAGAAUUCGAAAAGUUCGUACGCUAGAGCCGGUUAGUAAUAAUCGGCCCAGAUAAAUAAUCACACAAAUACAGAAUUCGGCUUAUAGAUUUGCCAAGCCA